GACGAACGCUGGCGGCGCGCCUAACACAUGCAAGUCGAACGGAGCUGAGAGAAGCUUGCUUUUCUUAGCUUAGUGGCGAACGGGUGAGUAACGCGUGAGUAACCUGCCCUGGAGUGGGGGACAACAGUUGGAAACGACUGCUAAUACCGCAUAAGCCCACGAUCCGGCAUCGGCUUGAGGGAAAAGGAUUUAUUCGCUUCAGGAUGGACUCGCGUCCAAUUAGCUAGUUGGUGAGGUAACGGCCCACCAAGGCGACGAUUGGUAGCCGGACUGGGAGGGUGAACGGCCACAUUGGGACUGAGACACGGCCCAGACUCCUACGGGAGGCAGCAGUGGGGGAUAUUGCACAAUGGGGGAAACCCUGAUGCAGCGACGCCGCGUGGAGGAAGAAGGUUUUCGGAUUGUAAACUCCUGUCGUUAGGGACGAUAAUGACGGUACCUAACAAGAAAGCACCGGCUAACUACGUG
rnacentral:rRNA from 1 species